CUCUCCAACUGUGAGUGAACAAAUUCUCAUUUGGGUGAACUGUGGAGACUCCAGGCCCUGAGGUCAACCCAGUCCAUUCCAAAGGAGAAACAAAAAAGCU